AGCGAACGCUGGCGGCAGGCCUAACACAUGCAAGUCGAAUGAACUCUUCGGAGUUAGUGGCGGACGGGUGAGUAACACGUGGGAACGUGCCUUUUGGUUCGGAAUAACUCAGGGAAACUUGUGCUAAUACCGAAUGUGCCCUUCGGGGAAAGAUUUAUCGCCAUUAGAGCGGCCCGCGUCUGAUUAGCUAGUUGGUGAGG
rnacentral:rRNA from 1 species